CCGCGCUUAAUUUCUAAUUCCCCGACCCGCCCAGCGCCAACACCAAAACCCUAGCCCCUGCAGCCGCCCCUCAAGUGUCUAUUCCCUCAGCGUCUCUCUCCCCUCUCCUCUCUCCUCUCCUCUCCUCCGGAUUCUUCGCCUCCCGAGCCCCCUCCUCCAGACCUCCGCCUCCGCUCUCUCCUUCCCCUUGCCGACUACUUCCGCCUCCCCAUCGACGGCGACUGCGGCGGCUCGACGGGGCAAGAAAGAUCCAUCUACGCGAGGUCAGAUCCUCUGCUCUACUGAGAAUUUUAUUUUAAUUCUUCAAUAUCCAAGCAGGUUGCAAGAGUGUUUGCCACUAAUCCAAAUAAAGUCUGAACCACAGCUAAAAGAAAAGGAGGAAAAAAGAAGCAUCCAAUGUUGAAAUUACAAGUUAGAACAGCAUAGACUUGUGGAUUAAUUAGGACAACAAACAGUUAUGACAUGAUCAGAUGACUACUAUAAAGAGAGAUAAUAUUCUACUUUAAAAAGUCUUUGUUAUUGAUCUUCUUACUGGUAUACAGAUGUACUCAUUUUAAUUUAAUUUUUAGAUCUUCCAGAAGUUUGCUAAAUUAUAUAACAAUGCCUUUGAGAAAAUCAAGAUCGAGUGCUGUUGAGAAAGCCUUGUCUCCUGAAGAACAGCAAGCAAAGUUUUCACUUGAAGAAGGAAGGGAAGCUCUCGUCAACUGAGUCUGCAGUGAGGAAGGCAGAGGAUGUGGUGAGCAGCAUGCUGGCCAAGGGUUAAGGAUGCCCUCAAGAGAGCUAGGUCCUUUGACGAACGACACCAUUUUAUGUCCGGCGCCUCAGCUAUGGCUUUAGUCCCCUGGAGGAUCUCACUGGAAUUAUUGGGCAAUCAUCAUCCUCUUCUACCUCUACAAGUCAAGCUCCAGAGCUGUACUCGCGUGAAGAUCUUCUAGGUAUUUUUGAGCACUAAAAGAAAAAUGGCAAGAGAAGGUUCUUCAAAAGAUGAGAGAAGAGAUUGGCUUUGGACCAUGGCGGCAGAACGGGGGGUAAUGGUGAUUCUGGUUCUGCUGAUCAUGCUUCAUUAUAAUUUCUUUGGCCUUAGAUGAUAGGUCUUUGCAUUUCUAGGAGGAAUGAAAUCUCUGUUAUGACAUACUUUUUGUAUUUUAAUUUUGAUGGAUUUAGGACAUGUUGAUGCCUAUUUUGAAUGACAUGUUAAAAAACUUGUGUAAUGUUGAAUGCCUUUGCUAUUAAUGAUAUUAUUAUUAUUAUUAUGAGCCAA